CGCGGAGUGGAGCAGUUGGCAGCUCGUCGGGCUCAUAACCCGAAGGUCACAGGUUCAAGUCCUGUCUCCGCAACCA
rnacentral:tRNA from 2 species